AGUGAACGCUGGCGGCGUGCUUAACACAUGCAAGUCGAACGGGCAAGUGCCGUAGCAAUACGGAUUACUGCUAGUGGCAGACGGGUGAGUAAUACAUAGGAAUCUGCCUCGGAGUGGGGAAUAACAGUUGGAAACGACUGAUAAUACCCCAUAUUGCCUGAGGGUGAAAGAAUUUCGCUCCGAGAUGAGCCUAUGCAGGAUUAGCUUGUUGGUAGGGUAAUGGCCUACCAAGGCGACGGUCUUUAGCUGGUCUAAGAGGAUGAUCAGCCACACUGGAACUGAGACACGGUCCAGACUCCUACGGGAGGCAGCAGUGGGGAAUUUUGGACAAUGGGCGAAAGCCUGAUCCAGCGACGCCGCGUGGGUGAUAA
rnacentral:rRNA from 1 species